CUGGAUUGUGUUUAGGUACAAUAAGAUACUGUAUUAUGCCUAGGUACAAAUAGGUACUUAAUUAUGCCUAGGUACAAAUAGGUACUGAAUUAUGCCUAGGUACAAAUAGGUACUGAAUUAUGCCUAGGUACAAAUAGGUUCUGGAUUUUGCUUAGGUACAAUUAGGUACUGGAUUAUGCCUAGGUACAAAUAGGUACUGGAUUAUGCAUAGGUACAAAUAGGUACUGAAUUAUGCCUAGGUACAAAUAGGUACUGGAUUAUGCCUAGGUACAAAUAGGUACUGGAUUGUGCUUAGGUACAAUUAGGUACUGGAUUAUGCCUAGGUACAAAUAGGUACUGGAUUAUGCCUAGGUACAAGUAGGUACUGGAUUGUUUGCUUAGGUUUACAAUUUUUAUUUUAUU